ACCAGACUCCUACGGGAGGCAGCAGUGGGGGAUAUUGCACAAUGGGGGGAACCCUGAUGCAGCGACGCCGCGUGGGUGAAGAAGCGCCUCGGCGCGUAAAGCCCUGUCAGCAGGGAAGAAAAUGACGGUACCUGAAGAAGAAGCCCCGGCUAACUACGUGCCAGCAGCCGCGGUAAUAUGUAGGGGGCAAGCGUUAUCCGGAUUUACUGGGUGUAAAGGGGGCGCAGACGGCGAUGCAAGCCAGGAGUGAAAGCCCGGGGCCCAACCCCGGGACUGCUCUUGGAACUGCGUGGCUGGAGUGCAGGAGGGGCAGGCGGAAUUCCUGGUGUAGCGGUGAAAUGCGUAGAUAUCAGGAGGAACACCGGUGGCGAAGGCGGCCUGCUGGACUGCAGCUGACGUUGAGGCCCGAAAGCGUGGGGAGCAAACAGGAUUAGAUACCCUCGUAA
rnacentral:rRNA from 1 species